rnacentral:tRNA from 1 species
GCGGCUUUGGCGCAGUAGGUAGCGCCUAGCAGUAGGUCUCAUAAUCCUACGAUCGUGAGUUCCACCCUCGCGGGCCUCA